AGAGAGAGAGAGAGAGAAAGAGAACGAGAAUACAGCGCGCGAUGCUCUCGCAACGCUCUCACGCAUGUAAUCCUGGCCAAUCGAAAUUAGGUUGUUUAGUGAAGUGCGUUCGUUGUCGCUCUCUCUCUAUCUCUGUCUCUCUCUCGCUCUUGCGCGCACACACAAUCAUGCUCAUUCACUCUGGUGUUCUUUGCUGGAAGGAAAUAUGAAGGAGAUGCAGACACACAAUCUCGUUGAAUGCUGUCUCGUUUUUCCUCCAUGGUCUCCAGUACGGCCAGAAUCUCCAGCCAGGGGUUAGAGCAUGCGGCCAAUAAGUCAGUGAACAGCCAACCAGUUUUCCACCAUCCGUCUUCGUAUGGUAGGCUCGUAUUUAAGUGUGCACUUAUCAUCGCGUUUCUGACGCACGGUACACGUUUGCCGUGAAUUUCGGUGAAUAAAAACGGUAGAAAAACAGGACUCACUGUUGGAAUUGUAGCUGCUUUGGUUAUUAUUGAUGUUUUCUAGAACGAAACAAAAUAAAUAAACAUUGAGUGGUUGCGAGAGCAAAAGACCGAAUAAUUGUGGAACGGGAGGAAAAGUGCAUAUCUGAUUCGUUAUUACGGUGCAGUAGCUGGUUUUUCUUCAUCCAGGCAGUCAAUCAACCGCUCACCAUAUCGAAACGGCGUGGAAGUGAUCGGCGCCCGUAAAGCAGCAUGAGCUAUCAGAUGCCGCAAAACAGAACAAUGUCUCAUAAUCCCUAUAAUCCGUCGGAUAUGCCGAUGCCUUCGGCAAAGGAGCAAACACUAAUGUGGCAGCAAAACUCGUACCUCGGCGAUUCCGGGAUUCAUUCGGGCGCCGUGACCCAGGUGCCGUCGCUGAGCGGCAAAGACGAUGACAUGGAAGAUGAUCCGCUGAUGUUCGAUAUGGAUCAAGGUUUUUCGCAAAACUUUACACAGGAUCAGGUUGACGACAUGAACCAGCAGCUGAGCCAGACGCGCUCGCAGCGCGUACGGGCAGCAAUGUUCCCGGAGACGCUCGAGGAAGGCAUCGAGAUCCCGUCGACACAGUUCGACCCGCAGCAACCGACUGCAGUCCAACGGCUGGCGGAACCAUCGCAGAUGCUGAAGCAUGCCGUUGUCAACCUGAUCAACUAUCAGGACGAUGCGGAUUUGGCCACCCGCGCAAUACCCGAGUUGAUCAAGCUGUUGAACGACGAGGAUCAGGUGGUGGUGUCCCAGGCUGCCAUGAUGGUACACCAGCUGUCGAAGAAGGAAGCGUCCCGGCACGCCAUUAUGAACAGCCCGCAAAUGGUGGCUGCUCUCGUUCGUGCGCUGUCCAACUCAAACGACCUCGAGACGACCAAGGGUGCCGUCGGUACGCUGCACAACUUGUCGCACCAUCGGCAGGGUCUGCUGGCCAUCUUCAAGUCAGGUGGCAUACCGGCACUGGUAAAGCUACUGUCCUCGCCGGUCGAGUCAGUGCUUUUCUACGCAAUAACCACGCUGCACAAUCUACUGCUUCACCAGGAUGGUAGCAAGAUGGCGGUACGGUUGGCCGGUGGGUUGCAGAAGAUGGUCGCACUGUUGCAGCGCAACAACGUCAAAUUUCUAGCCAUCGUCACGGACUGUCUGCAGAUCCUGGCCUACGGUAACCAGGAAAGCAAGCUGAUCAUCCUUGCCUCGACGGGUCCGAGCGAGCUGGUACGCAUUAUGCGCUCGUACGACUACGAGAAGCUACUGUGGACAACGUCGCGCGUGUUGAAGGUGUUGUCAGUCUGUUCGAGCAACAAGCCAGCCAUUGUGGAAGCCGGUGGUAUGCAAGCAUUGGCCAUGCACCUUGGCAAUCCAUCCCAGCGUUUGGUACAGAACUGUCUCUGGACCCUGCGCAAUCUGUCCGACGCGGCGACCAAGGUCGAUGGGCUCGAGACACUGCUGUCCGGGUUGGUGACCGUGCUCGGUUCGUCCGACGUUAAUGUGGUCACGUGCGCGGCAGGCAUCCUGUCCAACCUGACAUGCAACAACCAGCGCAAUAAGGUAACCGUUUGUCAGGUCGGAGGUGUGGAAGCACUCGUUGGCACGAUCAUCAACGCUGGCGACCGGGAGGAGAUUACAGAACCGGCCGUGUGUGCCCUGCGUCACCUGACCUCACGCCAUCCGGAAUCGGAGUCAGCGCAAAAUGUCGUUCGCAAUGGUUACGGGCUGCCGGUUAUCGUGAAGCUGCUCAAUCCACCGUCCCGCUGGCCGCUCAUUAAGGCCGUGAUCGGGUUGAUUCGUAAUUUGGCCCUCUGUCCGGCUAAUGCUGCACCGUUGCGUGAACACGGUGCUAUUCAUUUGCUGGUGCGGCUGCUGUUUAAGGCGUUCCAGGAUACGCAACGGCAACGUUCAUCGGUUGCUACCAAUGGGUCGCAGCCACCGGGCGCCUACGCCGACGGCGUACGCAUGGAAGAGAUCGUCGAGGGCACGGUCGGUGCACUGCAUAUUCUCGCAAAGGAGGAAUACAAUCGACAGGUCAUUCGUUCGCAGAACGUCAUUCCGAUCUUCGUACAGCUGCUGUUCUACAAUGACAUCGAAAACAUUCAGCGUGUUGCUGCUGGUGUCCUUUGCGAGUUAGCCGUCGACAAGGAGGUGGCGGAAAUGAUCGAGGCCGAAGGAGCUACCGCACCACUCACCGAGUUGCUUAACUCGGCCAACGAAGGCGUCGCCACAUACGCUGCCGCCGUGCUCUUCAAAAUGAGCGAGGACAAGUCGAUGGAUUACAAGAAGCGCUUCUCUAGCGAGCUGACCACCCUACCUGUAUUCCGCGACGACAGCAUGUGGAACAAUGGCGAGCUUGGUAUCGGACCGGAUUUGCAGGACAUCCUGUCUCCCGAACAAGCUUACGAGGGUCUGUAUGGACAGGGGCCCGCGAGCGUACACAGCUCGCACGGUGGUCGUGCAUUCCAGCAAGCUAAACCAGCCUAACAUAUAUCAUCACUAAAAAGAGCCCCCAAAUAACCAGCCAACUCACGAAUACGAACUCCCAAUUAAGCGUAACUGUUUAACCUCCAUGCCCAGUGGUGCACUAAUUUAACUCUGGUGCUCCUUUAUCCCACUAUCCGUAUUUUAUACUUUUGGAGAAAAUUCACUCAAACACUCAAACGAAAGCACUAAACAAAACCUAACAUCCGUUUCAACGUGUCAUCUUCCUUUGGAUACGUUCGCCACUCCAGAUCCCAUGUAUUUCCUACCGCUCACAACCACAGCUAGCAAUGUAAGAACAAAAAAAAAACAUAGAUAUUGGUAAGAAUUAAGAACCGCAAGGAUCUCUUUCGCUGUGGAAAACACUCCACGCCUUUCCCCCUUUUACUGCGUUCGGCUCCCUAAUUGUGCUCCCUCGAAUGCUGUGUAAAAAGUGUGUGUGUGUGUGUGUGUGUGUGUGUUUACAUGUUGCGUCAAUUGUUAAAAAAAAACAAAUUAGCGUUAAAAUAAUCGUUUGAGAUAGAGAAGUUCAGUUACUAUUCAAAAUCAGUCAAACAAAGCUAGGUUUCAAUUUUCAUACAAUCGAUAGGGAAUGUAAGGGGGAGGAGCGCAAGGAGAGAAGUUUGGUUAAAAUUUAUUUCCAAAAAAGCACACAUACACAUUCACACUCGCUAUGAAAUUGCAAAUACCUUGAAUGAGCACACAUGAGAAGCUAAUCCAACCUUCAGGCAUUUUGAUACAAUGAAGUACGAUACACUCGUCCGUCGUCAGCUUGUAUUGUUCAUUCAUUUUAAAAGUUGCAAUUAGCUUUUCCUCUAAUACUAUUCUUGCGAUAUCGCACGAUUGGGUCGGUAAAAGCAAUCAUUAUUCAGCAAACAAUGUGUUUACAUUUGUGUAUAUUUUAUAGCAAUAGUGGAGCCCUUAUACAAGCGAACGGAGGGAGUAACGCACGGCAAUAGUUCGGAGUUAGAGGAAUGUUUUAAGCAAUUUGCUUUCUAGCAAAUCAAUAGCGCAAGUUAUACGAAGGAGAACACACACACACGUAGGAUCGAAACAAUAUUUUUAAUUCGUCUCUAGACGCAGGAGAUUAAUUAGGUCGUCUUAUAUGGACGAUGCACGGAGGAGCAAUUAGAAACUGCUUAACAUAACAGCCAACAAUCCCCCUUGUUCGACCUCCUCCUCCCUCCCACCCUUUCCACAACUCCACCUUAUCUGUUUUUCCUGGAUUUUUGACCCGAUUUCCGGCAAAAAAAACCCACACUUGUCACUUUCCUAGCCAUUUCUCGCAUUUCCAUUCCCUUCGGAAUUCCCGUUUUCUGUUGAACGUUUCAAAAAUGGGAAAAGAAAAUGCUUCUGCUGCUGCUGCUGCCGCUGCAUCACAAAACGGUCGGAACUAUAACAGCAUCUAGAUCACCGAACCGGCAAAACUCAGCUCUACUUCCGAUAUGCAAUAGCGAUAUACGCCCACUUAGGGAUACGACACCCUUCCAAUAGACUCAAUGCAGGGACUGGAGAUUGGUGGUGGAGGCGGAAGCAGCGUCAGCAACGGUGGACCUACCGGCAACGGUAUGGGCGGUCAGCAGCAACAGUCGGUCGGUGGUGGCGGUCCGGGCUCGGUCGUGAUGGGUGGCGGCGCUAGCGGCAUGUCGUCCUCCGGUCAACCGACAUCACCGUACGGCAUGGACAUGGACGUCGGUGAGAUGGACGCGAGCGAGUUAACGUUCGACCAUCUGGACGUGAUGCCGUCGCCACCCCAGGACAACAACCAGGUCGCCGCCUGGUACGAUACCGAUCUCUAAGCCCGUGGAAGCAAUCAACAUAGCAAUCCACAGUCGGUACAAACAGUAUCACGAAUUGUGCACAUCAAUGCGAGCUGUUGAAAGUUUUGCCGGGGAUCUCCGGACUCACUGAUACAGGCAUGUGCAACGAGAACGAGAGCCACAAAAAGGCUUUGCAUCUUUUUAUUUUUUUACAACCUCUUUAUCGAAUAUAAGCACCCACACACUAACACAUUACGGAUCGAGGUUUACGACAAAACGAUCGUAAAUAUAUUUUACACUUCCGUUUUUCCCCGUACGAUUUUAUACACUAUAAUUUUAGUUACAAAUGAAGCGGAUGCAGCUAGGACAUAAUCUGUCCCUCUCUCUCUCUAUCUCUCUCUCUCUCUAUCUCUCUGUCUCUCACACACUCCUUUACUAUUUCACGAGAAACUCUUCAGUUGGAGGUUUCAGUUUGUGCAUGUAACAACUUCAAUCCCCAAAACGUUACAUUUAAUGAAAAAUCAUGAAAAUCAACUUAAAAAACAAGCAAACAAAUAUACACGAUGCCUGUACGAAACAUGCAA